GACGGAAGGUGCAAGCGUUGCUCGGAAUCACUGGGCGUAAAGGGUGCGUAGGCGGCUUGGUAAGUUGGGUGUGAAAGCCCCGGGCUCAGCCCGGGAAGGGCACUCGAUACUGCGGUGCUUGAGGACUGGAGAGGAGACUGGAAUUCAUGGUGUAGCAGUGAAAUGCGUAGAGAUCAUGAGGAAGACCAGUGGCGAAGGCGGGUCUCUGGACAGUUCCUGGACACUGAGACACGAAGGCCAGGGGAGCAAACGGG
rnacentral:rRNA from 1 species